rnacentral:lncRNA from 1 species
GACGCGCCUCAGGGAGCGCUUUAAACUUCGCGACGGCUUAAAUUGAGGAAAGGAGGCGUAGGUCUGUGGCCUUUUUUGCGAGGGCCAAGAGUGGUAAACUGGUUUGAGCCGCUUCAAGAGACAAACCAACCGUCACUCCUGUCUAGCGCUUUGCUGGAGAGAGGCCGCGACACGGUUUCCUGGUCGCCGCGGGGUCCUCAGCUCCAGCUGAUCUUUCCCCUACAGCCUGAUGGAGCAAGAGAAGGAGGAGGCGAACUCCAGGAAGAGGAAGGAGGCCCCGAACUCCUCGGCCUCGGCUACAGAGCGGGAUGGACCUCCUUCGCAUAUUCAGGACCGCGAGCCACAAGCCAAGGACCUCUAAUUUCUGCCACUUUAAGAUCCAGCAUCGACCUACAGAAUGACCCCAUCAUUCAAAAUUCUGACAAAGGAAGAAAUGAAAACAUUUCACUUCCCCUUACCAGGGUCUCCUAACUAUGAAAACUUUAUCCUUACCAAGUAUACUGGUUUCAUAACAGAUAGCAGUCCCCUCUUUGGACUUGACUGUGAAGUGUGCCUUACAUCCAUGGGGAAAGAACUAACACGCAUCUCACUGGUUACUGAAGGAGGCUACUGUCUUAUAGAUGAACUUGUCAAGCCUGAUCUCAAGAUUCUGGAUUACCUUACCAGGUAUUCGUUACUUCCCCUGACUGGUUCUUCCUGUAGCUAGCAUUCUAGAGCAGAGUAUGCCUUAGCACGAAUUGCCCACAGCUUCUGCUUCUUGAGUUGUUUUUUUUUUUUUUCUUUCUUUUUCGAGACAGGGUUUCUCUGUGUAGCCCUGGCUGUUCUGGAACUCACUCUGUAGACCAGGCUGGCCUCGAACUCAGAAAUCCACCUGUCUCUGCCUCCCAAGUGCUGGGAUUAAAGGCGUGUGCCACCACGCCCAGCUGCUUCUUGAGUUUUGUCUCUUAUUUUCAAAUAAAUGGCUGCUGAAGUUGUACUGUCAAUGUAUAAUACUUUUAACCUCGUUCUUCACUUUUACUCUGAUAAGUCAGCAGAAUAUUAUCUGCGUUAUCUUAGAGUCUUGAAGUUGUAUUUGUUUCUUAACAACUGCCACAUAGCUGGAGGAGAGGUUUUGUGUUCUGACAACAUCUUGUUUGAGUAUCUGCAUACAGUCAUUUGUCAGUCAAAUGAUCUUAAUGCUUAAUCUAUCUUGACUCCCCAAAUAAACAUUUUUAUGACAAAAAUUUGAAGCGCUGAAUUUUAGUCUGCACCCUACCCCGCCACUUCUUAAGACAGGGUCUCACUAUGUGGCACUUGCUAUCCAGACCAAACAGCCCUCUAAUACACAGAGGUCCACCUGCUUCUACCACCCAAGUGCUAGGGUUAAAUCUUGUACCACCACUCCUGGCCAAUUUUAGUCUUUUAAUUUUUAUUUUUUCAAAGAUUAGCAUAAAACUUCAGAAGUACACAGUGACUGGACAAAGGGAAGAACAGUAAAACAUGUCCAUUUUUGUUCACUGAAGUUGUACCCAGGCAUUAGGCAUAGACUGACCUAAUGCCAAUGAUAAAGGCUGUUCUAAUAGCAGACCCGAUCGUUGAAUUGUUUUUCUAGAAAGUAGUCAUUUGCAGCAAAAAGAUAUGUGAAAGCAGGUUUGUCAUAGUAUUAUUAAAAAGAUGAAAAUAUAAAUGUCUUUUGAAAAGACAAUGCAAAUAUCAAUUAGAGGAUUAGUUUUUUUAAGCUGCAAAAUAGAAUACUCUUACCAUUUAAAGAGAUAGGCUACAAUUAAUUCAUUUAUUGACAUACAGAUAUAAUCACAAAGUAGUACAUAUGAAAUAUAUCUAUAAAUGCAUACAUACCAAAAAUGUGGAAGGAGCUGAGCAGUGGUGGCACACACCUUUAAUCCCAGCAUUCGAGAGGCAGGUAGAUCUUGGUGAGUUCAAAGCCAGCACAGUCUACAGAGUGAGGUCCAGGACAGCCAAGGUUUCAGAGAAACCC